rnacentral:rRNA from 1 species
AUUCCCCUAGUAACGGCGAGUGAAGCGGGAAAAGCUCAAAUUUGAAAUCUGGUCGUUCCGCGACCCGAGUUGUAGUUUAGAGAGGCGUAUUCCGCGGCGGACCACGUACGAGUCCUUUGGGAUGAGGCGUCGUAGAGGGUGAGAACCCCGUUCACGACGUGGACUACCGUCGCUUUGCGUUGCGCCCUCGAAGAGUCGAGUUGUUUGGGAAUGCAGCUCAAAACGGGUGGUAAAUUCCAUCUAAAGCUAAAUACAGGCGUGAGACCGAUAGCGAACAAGUACCGUGAGGGAAAGAUGAAAAGAACUUUGGAAAGAGAGUUAAACAGUACGUGAAAUUGCUGCAAGGGAAACGCUUGGAGUCAGUCGUUUCGUCCGGGACUCAACGGAGGUUCUCCUCCGCCUACUUCCCGCGACGANAGGCCAGCGUCGGUUUC